ensembl:lncRNA
AAAGCCAAUCAAUGGCAACAAGGGGCGGAGAAUAAAUUGCCAGUCAGGUUGGUAGGAUAAGGAAUACAAUAUAAAGAGGGGGGAUCCAAUCCAGUUUCAGCUAGUUUCUGGACGUAGGCCUACUGAUUAAAUAUUUACGUUAGUUACAGUGUGUUCUGAAGGAAUUGAGUGACUUACAUCGGACACAUUCAGAAGCCUGCAUUGAAUUUUCAGUAACUGAGAAGGCUAAUUUGUCCUCUAAUUCUCUAGACAAUACAAGCAAAGCAGCCAUGCCGAAAAGAAGCAAAGUAAGUUGGAAUGUUUACCUUUUAAUUUAAACCUUAUUUUACAAUGUAUAAUUUCUCACAUGAAGUGUUUUUAUAAAUAUCUGCAACAAUCGCAUGUACUCUAAAAUAUGCUUGAUACAAUGUAACAAGUUUUCUCUAAAGUAUGAAUGUGUUUUAGUGUGUCUGUCUUGUCGAAAUGGAAGUGGCGCCUUUUUACUUAGUGUGGCAAAUAAUGACACUGAAGUUGAGCCAAAGAGGAGAUCCACGAGGUUAUCAUCUAAACCCACUACUCCAGCUAAAGCAGAGCCUAAGGCAAAGACACCAGUCAAGGCAGCAGCCAAACCCAAAAAGGUAAAGGCGGUAGUCGAGAAGUCCAAGCCUGAGGAGAAGAAAGAGGAUCCUGAGGAAGAAGCAACACCGGCAGAAAACGGAGAGGCCAAAGCUGAGGAGGAGGCAGCAGAAGAGGAAGAUGCUGAUGCAGACGAGCCUGAGAAAGAGGAGGAUGAGGCAGAAUAACAUCCUUACCCUUUUGCCAGUGCUCCCUGUACCUCCUUUCUUGUACAAUUCAGAAGAAUAUUUUUAUCAACUAUUUUCUUAAGAAAAAGCAGGUUGUGUAGUAGUAAGAUUGUAGAAACAAUUUUAUUUUUUUUUUACCUCUGGAAGAAAGGUUAUGGUCAUUGUGUGUUUCCCUUUUCUUUUGUGGUCUGGUUCAGUUGUCAGUGGGAGGGGGGCAGGUUUGUAGCAAUGACAUGCAAUCACGCCAAUAUCAGGAACUUGUUAUUCAACUGGGAGCGCUUGUCUGACACUAACAUUCCAUAGGCUUUAUGAGGGACAGUUUAUUUAACCUGUUGUAUGGAGAAGGGUUGGGGGUUUAUACACAAUAAUACUUGUUUUAUUGUUUAUAUUGGGUAGGACGGUGGUAAUUCUGUUUUAAACUGUGCCCUAUGAAUUUUUAAACUAUUGUCCACAUUGUAUUAUGUAUCCACAGUUAUGGUUAAUUCUCCCUAGUUCAUGUACUGGAUUUUUCAUCAGGCCUGUGAAAUGGUUUUUGUCUCUGUUCGGUGAAGGCAUUGCAAUAACAUUUGAUAUAGCUGCUGUGAAACUGUUAUUUUUUUUCAUAAUUUCUAUGCAGUAUGUAAUGUAAUGGUACGAUUUGAGGAUGGUUCGUGUUUUUAGCCAAGCUAAUAACAUGAAAUACAUUACAGUGUUAAACAUACUGGUUGUAGCUUAUCCUUUUGAGGAUACUGAUAAACAUUGACUGUACUUUCACUUAAUCCUUCAAGUGAACAUAGCAGCUGUAGAUUUCCAUGUGGUUUUAGAAUUUUAUGUACAGUUUCUCUUUUUUGUUGUAGCUGUAUCUGUGUUAUUAUUGGUAUAAACAUGCCAAUUGAAUUAAAAUGAUUGUAAUUUC